rnacentral:tRNA from 1 species
AUCGUGGUCUAGCGGUUAGAACGCUGGCCUUGUAAUCCUGGGGUCUCGGGUUCGAUUCCCGGUGGU